rnacentral:rRNA from 1 species
UGCGUAGGGUGCGAGCGUUGUCCGGAAUUACUGGGCGUAAAGAGCUCGUAGGUGGUUUGUCGCGUUGUUCGUGAAAUCUCACGGCUUAACUGUGAGCGUGCGGGCGAUACGGGCAGACUGGAGUACUGCAGGGGAGACUGGAAUUCCUGGUGUAGCGGUGGAAUGCGCAGAUAUCAGGAGGAACACCGGUGGCGAAGGCGGGUCUCUGGGCAGUAACUGACGCUGAGGAGCGAAAGCGUGGGGAGCGAACAGG